rnacentral:RNase_P_RNA from 1 species
GGAGUUGGCCAGGCAAUCGCGCCAGACAUCGGUCUGGGGAGGAAAGUCCGGGCUCCACAGGACAGAGUGCCAGGUAACGCCUGGGGGGUGCAAGCCUACGGAAAGUGCAGCAGAAAAUAAACCGCCUGCUCUGUGUAUGCAGGGUCGGUAAGGGUGAAAUGGUGCGGUAAGAGCGCACCGCGCAACGGGUAACCGUUUGCGGCAUGGUAAACCCCACUCGGAGCAAGACCAAAUAGGGGAACAUAAUGCGUGGUCCGCGCUGUUCCCGGGUAGGUUGCUUGAG